CUGUACAAUGAUUGCGUCUGGCCUCCAUUGUGAUGGCAGAGAGAAGCGCUCUGCGGUGUAGAUGGCAGGAGCGAGCAGUGGCAGGAAAGGCUGUUUCCCAAAGCUGUGCGAUUAUCUUGAGUACUUCUGUGAGCUACCCUGACAUUGUUUGUCUGAUUAGUUCAUUCACAUUUUUGGUUCUGGAUUCUUUUAGCUAAAAAAGUUAGUUUAAUUUUGAAAGGCUCCAAACUCUGAUUACUGAAAUGAAUUUCAGUGGCUUCAGUUGGUGCAACUUCAUUAUAGGGUACACCAAAUGAAUUAAUGAAUUAAUCCAAAUUCAGCUUUCUUCUGUGUAGUGGAGUUGUCGUGAGAUGUGCUCUAAUUGAAAGAAUACCAGCGAUUGCUUGAUAUUUCAUCUGGUGAUUUAUACAGAUUUUUAAAUGCAUAAAAGGAAACCAAUUAGCAUUAGUUGCAAGAUUUAUUUCUCAACUCAUUUCUGGAUUCAAAUAAUUAAACACAGCUACCUGAAAUAGCUGUUAAUGAGAUAAAACCAGAUGAAAAUGUAAGCUAUUAAUUGAUUCACCAACCCCUAGAAAACAGAUUGUUCAGUUAACAUAUAUUUAGGGAUUUGAAAACAAAGAUCUCUUUGGGAAUUUAGAGAGUAGUCAUAGUCAUAGGCAAAAACUUUAAUUUUCUCUUUCAGUAUAAACUUUGUGAAUGGUUCAAAGCUCAAAAUGUCUGGAAUUCUAAAGUGAGCUUCGAUGAGGGUGGUAUAUGCUAGAAUCCUGACCUGUGACAAUGCAGACAGAAUUUGUCAGGCCAUGUGAUUUUAUCACAAAGCCUGAGUCUUGCAAAGAAGAGCAGGUUUCCAUAUUUGCCUUUGGUCAGCUCUUUGCAUUGUUGAUUGACUCCCGGUAAUGCUGUUGUCAGUAUUUUGUCAAUAGUCAAAUAGAUCUCAUGACUGGCAUUUUGCCUUUUUAAAACCAUCCCUCGUUGCAGUUACAGAGAUUUGAAACUUUAAAGCCAGCUGGGAAUGGCUGGUGGCUUUUUAAUUAUUAUUUAUGAAUGCAUCAGAAAGAAAUAUUGACUUCUAAUUAAAGCCAGAAAAUUGCUCCUGGAAUAAAUUGCUGAAGGGUAGAAGAUAAAGGUGGAUACUCUGCACGUGGGAACACCAAGCAAGGCUGCACGUGUCCUAAUAGAAGUCACCAGAGGUGAGUGUGGCCCUCACUGUGGGUGGGACAGCUUCUCAGGUGCGUGACAGUAAGAAGUCGAGUGGCCCAGCAGAGAGAGCAGGCGAUCUGGUUAGUGUUUAUAUACUGCAUUUGUGUCAUUAUCAUCUGCCAUCUCUUCUUGGAGGCUUAGCCAAGAGCCUCAGAAAUUUAUUAUUUCAUGAAGGAUCAAGUUAUUCUUACCUGGUUGAAGGAGUCAGAAUAUUCGAACUAGUGAUUCCCGAUGGAACUCUCGAUAAGCAUGGUACAUGUUUCUUUAUUCUCUUCCUGUCUGGGUUGUUUGGAUUGUAAUAAAGAUGUGAAUUUAGGGGCUUUUUUUGCUUUAGGGAAUUGCUAGCAAUGUCUGCUCUGUGUGUUCGGUCAAUGACAUUUUGCUUUUGGUUGUAUGUAUUGCUCCACUACCCCAGUUCACAGCUCACAUUGAAUUCAGGACCUAGAACAGUGCCAUGGGCAGAGUCAAGCUUCAGAAUUAAUAGUGACCAGGAAGUAAAGAAAUAUCUUCUUCCUAUCUGUCACUAGAUGUGUGACUAGGGCCCCCGUUACAAAAGACAGAUGAACAGUAGAACAGUAUGCAGAUUUAUUUAACAUAAAUUUUAUUAGGCACCUCUAGAGUCACAAUGUAGAUGUGCUCUUUACUUGCUAAUUUACAUUUAGAAAGGAAGGGAUGAGUAUGAAUUUUUAUCCUUUUCUUUCUAUCAUGUCUUGCAGAGAUCUAAGGGAAGAACUUUGGGAAAAAUUCUUACAUUUCAAUCGCUUUCUGUCAGUUAUUGCAGGAUUUUUAUCUGCAGGCUCUGAAGUGAGGGGUUGACUCAAUUGUCCCUUCAUAGCUGCCAGCACCAAAGAAAGGAAAGGGUUCCCUCAACUCUUACAAGGCUCAAGGUUGGGACUGAAACACAGAAAUAACAAAGACGGAUUAUAUGCCAUGGAGCCUUCCUGAGGAACUGAAAGACCAAGAAAUGGGGGGAGUUGCAUAUGCAGUGUGAUUGAAAACUACUAUUUUUCCAACUUAUAAACUUGGAAAAAUGCACUACAAUAAAAGAUACCUUUGCAUUAACCUUUUUCAAAUAUCCCCCUUCAUCCUGGACACAUGGACCCCAUCGUUCUUGUCAUUUUCUGAAGCAACUCUGGAAGUUCUUUUCCAUUCAGGUCUCUAAGUUGUCUAGUCCUAGCCUUCUCAGUGCCCUAAGUUAAUUUAAAAUGUUUCUCAUUCAUGGUCAUUGUGACUUUAGGGAAGAGCAAAUCCUGACACAGUGUUAGACCCAAGGAGCGCGGUGGAUGAGGACUCACCAUCAGGCUUUUUCAAGCCUGUCCCUUGGAUGGCACUCGGCAGUGCCACUCACCAUAUGUCUGACUACGCUUCACGUGAAAGUGGGCUUCCAACGCUGCUUCAGGAGGUGACAAGAGUGACAGAUGAGUGUGUUCACAGCGAGGUGCGUAUUCUGAAGGGGACCGAUGGCCACAUGUCUCUUACUGUAAUACUUCUUUAAAAUGUACCUAUUCACCAUGUAUUUUGAUCACACCACUCAUGUGAGUGCUUGCCUUUAUAAGGAGCGGACCACAGGGGAGGAACAGAAUUGGAGAACAGAGGUAAUCAGCUGGGGAGAGGUUUCCAGGACCUGUUUGUUUAGAUCUUUCACUGCCUUUGCAGGAGGGCACUGCUCUUAGGAAGUCUUUUGAUUUGUUUCAGGGGAGGUUAAACAAUUCCUUCUAGAGCUUGUGGUCUGCCUCAGGGAAAGAAAAGGAUCAGAAAGGUUUCUGCUUCUACCAUUUCUUCAAAUUCCUUUAGUUUAAAAAGCUCAGUAUGCCAGAAUGCUCAGUUUGCCCCAAUUUGGGGCAACGUGCUCUGAGCCCCAUCAACUGUGUGAAGCAUGAACCUCUGUCUACCAUGCACCAGCUGCAUGAGGCUCAUCUUCCUUGGCUUUAGGAGUGUGGAUCAGCAUCGUAAGCCUCUAUGGCUGCCAUGGGGAGAGUGAGAUCAUGUGUAUGAAAUCCCCAUGUGGGUACCUAGCUUGUGACAGUCAGUGACUUAAAGUUGGGAGUUUUUUUUUUCCCUUCCUGCCUUCAUUACCUUCCUCCUGGGCUUGUUAUGAGCUACUAAAGGAAUAACUGGUGCAAGUGUUCUAAAGCCUACAGAAAUACAUAGUGGUUUUAUUAUCAUCUAGGGGGUCCAGGCAGACAAAUGUAGAACCACAAUGGCUCCGAGUAUGGCCCAUUUGAAAGACUUCCCAUUCUCCCACAGGCAAAUGAGCACAAGAAACACCAUGAAGUCUGCAUAAUGGUGCUUUUGUUGGGACAGUGGGACAAAGAAAGAACACACAGCUUAAACUCAAGCAAAGCCAGGAGUUUGGUUGGAGAGCUUUAGAUGCAAACCACCUUUACUGCUGAAGAUCUUCCUUUUUUAAAAAUGCAUAUCUAUGGGUCGCAAUGACCAUCCAGGAUGGGAACUGUGACCUACAUCCUAUUUACUAAUUUAUGAUGUUCUAGAACUAAACCAGCAAGCAAGCAGAGAAACUUGCAUUUUUAAGAAGUUCUUGGGAAGAAGCAAUCUAUUCAUUUCAGCCUGCUGUCCAGUGCAUAUUACUAGAACAUCUAUGGUAAAGAAAUAUUUGUGUGCAUGUGGUUCAGUGUGUUUAUAGAGAAAUAGGGUGGAAGCUUCAUUCUAUGGAGAAAGAAGGGAGAAUCCUAACUGUAGACAGUGCACAGACUGUGCUAUUGCUUAUGUCUAGAUGUUCCCCCAAAGCCUCAUGCAGUCACAGGUGGGGCUUUUUCAGUAGGUGGCUGAAUCUAGAAUGUGUGACUGAUUCAUGAUGCAAUGCUAGCAUUAAGGAUGCUCUGAGUAAGGGUGGGUGAUUACUAAAUCAGUCCACUCAUUGACUUGGCACUGCCCUAAUCUCAGUAGCCUGGAUACAAUCUAAGGACAAAAACAGACUUGUUUAGUCUCUUGCUUGUUUGCUUCACAACCUUCUGCGUACAAUGAACUGUUUCUCCUCUGCAAUGCCUGUCUGCAGUGCCACCCUGCCUCCAAUCCAGGUGAUUGUGUACCGAAAUCUCUACAAAUCCUGAGCUGCAUAAUGGUUUCCUCUCUUAACUUGUGGGUGUCAGGUAUUUUGUCUCAGCAACAAAAAAAUAAGUAAGGCAGGCAAAAAGUAUGCAUGCAACCCAGGAACAAUGAAAAAUACUUGAGCCUUAGAAAAGAAGCCCAGAUGAGGACUCAGAGGAAGAGCAGGGGAUAUUAGACACAGGCCCAGCAGGAAAGGAGAGGAAAAGGCAGCGUGUAUGCACACAGCGGGCGCUUCACAGCCUCCUGGGGGAGAGCAGGAGUCUGUAACUAAGAAUGUCCUCUGCAUGGCGAGGGGGUGGAAGCCUGAGACAGAGGGCAGAUGCACCCAGCGGGAAGCAGGAGGCAUCACAGAUCAGGGGAAGCAAAGAAGUUAGGGAUAAAAGACCUGCCAGGUCACCCCCUGCCUCUCUACUGCAGCCAGCGCCUCUCAGCAUUGUGGUCUGGUUUAUAUUUUUAAACAUCUCUGAAUUGCUAUCCUCAGUCUUUCUCCAAAUGCUUUGCUGCCGGAGGAUGAAGUUGUUCCAUUUUUUCUACAAACUCCAGUUUCUGAAUAUACCUACAGAAUACAUAAAGAUUAGGAGAAAAAAAAGGAAAAGAAAAAAACAAAAAGUGAAGCCCUGAAUCCAGACACGCACACCUGUUUGGCAGUCAUUAAGCAGGCACAGCGUGCUGGGAGGCGCGGGCUGCCUGAGCGAGAUGCUAACCCGCGGUCCCACGGGGCCUUGUCUACAAAGGUAAUGAUCCACAGAUUUCCAAAAUGCUGCUUAGAGACUUGGCUUGGCUGCGAUGGUUUGGGGAGGAGAGGAAAGGAAGAAAGAAUGAGAGACAGAAAACUCAGUGGAAGGAGAAGAAAGUGAUGCAGGAGAUGGGAGGAGAGGAAGAGAGAGGAGGAAGUCACUUUGAGGAGCAUAGGAUAGUGGGUCACGGUGGAGAGAAAGGGGUUAAGAGACUAUAAAAAAUUAUCCCAUAGGUCGUGACCUGUGGGAUAAUUCACUGGCUUUGAAACAUUUUAGCAUAUAAUACGUUUUUGGAAAUAUCUCAUGACUGGUACUAUGGUUCUUUAGACAAUGCUGGUCAUAAUCCCUAAAUAGACUUCUUUUUUUUAAAGAUAUAUUUUAUUAGUAUCUGUUAAUUUCACAAAAUCUUAGGUUUCACUAUGAUAUUCUCAUACAUCCAUAGGAAGUGUUCUGAUCAUCCCCACCCCUCAUUAAAUUCUUUAAAUCCUGCUUUGUCCCUUCUUAUUUAGUAAUUGUCUCCCUUCUAUUUUCAUGCCGUUUAAAAAUAUUCCAUAGUAGGGAAAAUGUGUGAUGCUUGUCUCUUUGAGUCUUACUUAUCCUUUGCCAGGAUGACCUUCAAUUGCACCCAUUUUCCUGAAAAUGACACAGUGGUGUUCUCCUUUAUAGCUGAAUAAUACUCCACUGUGUGUAUAUUCAUUUUCAUUAUCAUUUGCAUUACCUGCUCAUCCAGUAAUGGGCACAUAGGAUGGUUCCACCUCAUCACUAUUGUGAACUGUGCCAGCAGGCAGGAUGUGCAGAUAUCCCUGUGACAAGCUGACUUUCAUUCUUUGUUUGUGCACCAAGGAAUGAUGCAGCUGAGUCAUAUGGUAGUCUUAUUUUAAUUUUUGAAGAAUCUCCAUAAUGAUUUCCACAAUUACCGUGCUAAUUUUCACUUCCACCAGCAGAGUAAAAGAGUCCCUUUCCCCACAUCUUCAUCGCCAUUUAUUACUUGUUUUUGUAAUAUUCUUGUUUGUCAUUUUCUAUCAUUUUUCUCAAUUUCAAUUAUUUGUACAUGUUUGCAGUACAUAGUAUUACAUUUCUUCUUGCGCGGUGUUGGUAGCUGUGCAUAACACAACUUAUUUCUUUUAUCAUUCUUUCCUCUUCCCUUCUCCUGGUUCCUUCCCUUUUAUCAAAGAUCUGUCCCCCUGUUGCCUAUUGUCCAUCAUUCUUUUGCAUUUUUAUUCAUAUUUUGUGUUUCUCACUUAAGAGAAACCAUGUGACAUUUGAGUUUGUGUGUCUGAUCCAGGACUUAGAACAUUAGCCAGAGCAAUCAGGCAAGAGAAAGAAAUAAGACAUGUUUUUCUAUUCAUAAUGAUAGCGAUUCUGAUUGGGGUGAGAUAGAAUCUCCAUGUAGUUUUGAUUUGCAUUUCUCUAAUUGCUAAAGAUGUUGAAUAUUUUCUCAUACGCUGUACUUACUGGCACCCAAAUAGAUUUCUUGAUGCAAUGUUUGAAAAAUUAUAUGGAAAAUGAUAAAAAAAAAAAACAGCUGAAAAUUCACUGCUCCUUAAAGAAUCGCGUGUAUACUAGUGGCGUCCAACGAAGGUCAAAGGUCCUUUCAUAUCUCUUUCUAUCCUGCUCUCUGCUCCACUUGUUUGCUCCAAGAACACUGAUCUUGGCAGGGCCUUUGGGCUAGUUGUCUGGGGUGUGUCUCUUCAGGCUCAUUCCUUCUUAGUGUUUGGAUCUUACUUGUAAAUAAUAUGUUUUUCUGGGUGCAAGCUUCUGAGUUCAGGAGGGGACAGAUUUUCAUCUCCAUGAUAAAUAGGAAUGAAAAUGAGAAAGCCUGAAUAUCAGCUGUUUACGUAUUAUAAAGUUAAAAUAACCCACACUGAGAUAAAUCUCACUUCAUUUAGAGAGAUCGCCUCCUCAGCAUUUUGUAUUUUAUAACAUUCAUAACUUUCAUUUAACCUUAUUUUCUUCUUUUUGCCUCUGCUCUUCAGUAGAACCUAAGAUCUAGGAAGCCAUAGAAUGAAUAUGAGAUCCAUAUGCCAGGAACAGUGUCAUGGUAUAAAUAUGAAGUUCCUCAAAGAUGUAUGAAUUGAGGACUUUGUGCUCCUUAGCAGAAGUGUUCAGAGGGAAACCUUAGAAGUUGACCAGACAUUAGAGGUGCUAACCUCAUCUGUCCAUGUAUUCAUUUAUCGCUAACUGUGCUGCUAGGGUGUGGGGUCAGUUGGAGUCACAACCUGAAAGGCUGUAUCUUUUCCCUUGGCCCCUGCAUCACUCUCUGACUCGUUCUGCUCUUUGCUUCCUAGCUGCUGUGCACUGAGCAGCUUCCCUCUGCCUUGUCCUCCAGCCAUAAUUUUUCUUCACUGGAGCCAGUCAGCCACAGACUGAAACUUCUCAAACCCUGAGCCAAUAUCAACCUUUUGUCCUUUCGGUUGUGCAUGUCAGGUGACAAUGAUAAGAUGACCGAUACGAAUGGUAUGAAUGUUGUAAACAUUUUUCCCUUGAAACCAUUCUAGUUGGAUACGGGGUAUCUGAUAUAAUGGGUGAUGCUGACACACCUGAUGUAAGAAAGUUGUCCUGGUUACUUUCGCAUCACUGGGACACAAUACCUGAUGCCUGCAAAUUAGAGGAAGGAAGAUGUGUUUGUCUCACAGUUUGUAGUGGUUUCAGUCCAUAGUCUGGUGGCCCCAAGGCAGGAUAUGCAUGGCAGAGAGGUAGGUACAGUAGAGAAGUAGCUGCUCAUAUCAUGGUGACCAGGAACAGAAGGAGUCAAGGCAGGAGUCAGGAAGGGAAAAAAACUCUUCCAAGUCACACCCCUGAGACCUCCGUCUUCCCACCAGUGCCUGCCUCCUAACAAGUCAGAUACAUCUCUUUCAAAAUCCAAUCACCUUUCAGAAGCCUCACCUAUGAAUACAGAGGCUUUAGGGAACAUUUUGGAUCUAAGUCAUAAUAGAAGUUUUAAAUGCACUGUAAAAUGUGAGAAAAAUUGGGAAGCCAUUAAAAAGUAUGAGAAUGUGGACUUGAAUCACAUCGAAUAAGUAAUAAACCUCAGGGCACAGAAACAACACCAAAUCCUCUCUCAAGCAUGCCAGGGCUCUUGAAAUAAGCAGACAAUAUCACUUUCCUCUCGACCUUUGCCUCUAAGCUUGAUAGUUUUUAAAUUAGAAGCCAUUAAUACUAAUUUAAAAAGUGGAAGGUUCUGAGUGAUGGGAUUCUUAAAAUGAACUGGUUCUCUCUCUUCCCGUUCUCCACUCUCACUUCUCUAAAGAGUGUGCAGCUGUCUGUCUGUUUUACUCUUUCACUAUUUUACCCCAGAAUGACCUUUGAGAGACUGGAAAAAUCCAAGCACUGACCCUACUUGCUGAUGUGACUCAGAGGACGGCAGUCUUCCCUUUGGCUCCCUGGCAGACCAGCAAGGCUCCUCUUCAGAAGAGCUUUUUGUUGCACAGAUCACACACUAAGCCUUAAAACAAAUAAGAUGAAAAUGCAGUGUAUCCUCCAAAGUCACAAAGAGCUGAGUGCCUUGGGACCAAGGAGGCACAGUAAAGCUUUGUAGAGAACCACUGAUGGGAACCAAGACCAGAAGGAGAAGCAGAGAGACCUGCUAGAGACCCUCAGUUGCCCCAGGGGAGAGGACGGAGGUUUAGAUGACAGAGACAGCCGGAGGAUUUCCUUCAGACCUUCAGGAUUUCCUUCUCGGAGGCAGAUUCAACCAGGCUGGGGUAUGAGGGGAAGAGAGGGCACUGUCCUGGGUGACUCUUAGGGUCCUGGGUCUUCUGAGUUCAAGUGACCUUGGGAGAGUCUUGAGGGCCACCAGCUGAUGAUAGCACAGUAUCAUGACAAAACCAUUGCUUGUGAAUGUACUUCUUGAUUCAAAUACAUUUUCCACCUGAAUCAUUAUAUAUUAGUAAAAUAUGUUAAUCUCUGUAUUUCCCAAUACAUUUUCUCUCAAACUUCAGGGAUGUACCCAUUUUCAUCAACUGAGUCUAGUUAUGAAACAUGACGAGCCAGGCUUUGCUGAUUCUUCGUGAUCUUAAAAUGUUUCACUGGGUGGGCUUAAGCUGGUCUCCCUCUACCCUUGGUACUUCUAUUGCAGAGAUGGACAUUCCCGAGUAGAUAAAUUAGGGCUCUUUUGAGGUGAAUUCAGGUAAUAUGUUAGAGUUGCAUCCAUUCCAAAGUCAGUACUUAAUGGACUUAAGAAGUAUUCUUAAAUCUCAUCAGACUUAUAGCUGGAAUCUUCUGAUAAGGCAGGCAGAGGGGACAUCAGAACAAAUUCAUUAGAUUAAAAAAUAAUCUAAUAAAUUCAGGAUGUGGACUAUCCUACAGGACAGAAUUUGGUCUCUUAAACAGUAAAUAUCACGGGUAAAAGAAAGAAUAAAGAGACAUCAACAAACACAUUAGACAAAAUUUGGUUAGAUCUUGGUUUGGUGGAAAAUAGUUCUAAAAGUUUUGGUGGGGACAGUGGAGAAUUUGAAUGUGACUCACAGGAAUCACUUUUCUAAGGUUUAAUGAUGGUGUUAUCAUAUAAGUCUUUUAGGAGCUUCAUUUUGAAGUGUUGGGGCUAAGUGAUACAAUGUCUAUAAUUUUGUAACAUUUCAAUAAGAAACAUGGAUAUAUAGAUGGAUAAAGCAAAUAAGGAAAGUUGUGAACACUUCUAUCCAUACUUGAUAAAUGAUUUUUCAUUGUCCUAUUCUCUCAACUUUUUUACGUUACUUGAAAAACUAAGGUUGAAAAGUGACACAAAAGAUAAAAAUUUGACCCCCAGCAAAGCAACCCCCAGCAUUUUCAGGUGAAGAAGUUGGUUGGUAUUUUAGACUCUGAUCUUUGUAAAAAACAAAACAUCAACAACAAAACCCUAUAACUUUCAACAGUAGACUCGUAUUUAACCUAAGAAGGUGCUCACUUCUAGUAGAUCUUCCCAUCCAACAUUCCACUUUCAUGGAAAUUGAUGAUCACGGGCUGAACUAAAGGCCAGAGCACUUGCACUGUACUGAUUGCUGACUUCCCUUCUUGUAAUUUGAUUUGCCUGAGUAGUAUGGCUGACUCUGUGUGGACUCAAUACAUCCGUGAUGCAGCUAAAGGAUGAUUUGUUAAUUGAGAACUGCGCAGCAGACAUGUAACAAAUGUUAUGCUAACAGCACAGAGCUCAUCAUGUUAGGCCAGUGGUCCCUGUGUCUGUGGACAGAUUCCUAUUGUUCCUGUCUAUCUCUACUGUCAGUAUCUACUUCCCACUCUUGGUCUUUCUUUUCUUAGAAGCUGGAUGCUUUAAUUCUGGAGGAAAGGAGAAUCUGAAUCUUAUGACCAGUUUCCGGAUCAGGUCAUUAUAGGCCAAUACUUGUAAAUUUCCCAAGGCAGGAGCAGAUGCAGGUGGGGGCUGAUGUUUAUUCAGUUGUGACUCUCCUUAUGAAAAGGAAUAUAAAAUUACACUUAUAAAAUUAGAUAUAGACAUGAAUGUUUAUUUAGAAUGAGAAAAGAAGUCAUAACAAAUCAGAGGGUUUUUUUUCUUUUAAUCUACCAAGGUCUAUAACCACCAUAAAAUCCAGAAAAACAAACAGCUUAAAUUUUGAAAAUAAUUAACUUCUUGACACAUGGUUAUAAUACUUUCCCCUACAUUUAAUUUGACUGCAUCCCAUAAUUCUUUAUCUGACAAAACCUUUGGAAAAUUACUGACACUGGAGACAAUAGGAAGAUAAUUCCAUCUUCCCUUCAGCUUGGCUAAUCAUUUUCCUUAUUGAAAGAUUUGAAGUUUCUCUUGUCUUAAAUUUGUUAUUGGAAAUGUCAUGUAUAUAACUAGAAUUAUUGUUGUAUUGAGGGAAGCAGCUAUUAAAUAUUUUUCAGGUGGAAACUAUUAGAAUUCAAGUUGUUUUCAGCUUACAGGUGCAAUGACUAAUCACAAAUUCUCUUUGAAUUGACAAUACUCAUUAACCAGUUUUUCAUCAAUAUCACUAUGAGAUUUUUUUUGUCAGCCAUGAAAUUUCACAUAGCUAGUCCAAGAGAGUCAGUGUAAUGGACAAUUGGGGUGCUUUUUAAAUAAACUGUUCCUGCUCUAGGACACCUAGCAAUCACCGAAGGAUGACAUAAAUAACAGAAAGCCACAUAAACUUAUUAUAGCAAACCAGCAGUGAAUGUACCCUCAACUUACAGUCUAUUUUGCUGGAGCCCGGAAGUAUUGCUGACUACCCAGAUACCAUCAGGAAUGGAGAAAAUUGUGAUGUGAGAAAGUUAAAGGCAAAAAGAGAGAGCAGUAGAUAAACUAUGUUAUUUUCAGGUUUUAUGGAAACAUAUGAACAUAUCAACACAUUCCAGGGUGACUCUAGUAUCUGUGCAAAUGAAGGCUCUGGAUUUUAACUUAGCAUCUUCCUAUUAAACCCUGCUGUGCUUGAGGUAAGCUUGUGCAUUUCAUGUAAAACUCUAGCAUUUGGAACAAUAGAAUGAUAUAUGGACUUUAACUGGUUGUUAAAAUUAAGUUUUAGUUGAUUUCUUUGGAAAUACAUUAUAGUAAUAUACAUGUUAUUUAAGAGUCUCAAAUAAAAUAAGCUAAAUAAAAUAUUCCCCAAAUAUCAUUAUUCAAACUUCUCUCUAUAUAAUUCAUAUAUCUCUAAAACAUCUUCUGACACUGUGGGUUUCAAGGCUAUUGAACAAUGGAUUCUCCUGAUGUACUUUUAGAAAAAUAACAGUGGGUAUGACAUGUGCAAUAGUAUUUUUUAAAGCUCUCCAGGUGGUUUUAAUGUUCAGCUGGAAAUUGGUAUCUACACUUCUAAUGGUUGGAACACUUUUAUUUUUUUAUUUUUUGGCUUAAAUGUCAAAAUAUUUUUCUAGUUCCUCCUGGACUCUUUCAAAUGAAAUACAAGGAUGUAAGAUUCAGGAAAUAUAGUAUACAUGCAGAGCACAAUAGGUAUAAUAUAAAAUAUAUCUUUGUUAAAAAAGGAACUAUCCUAGUAAAAAUUCCUGUUCAUGUAGAACACAGUACCAGGGUGUGCUGACAGGGCGAGAUAGGAAUCAGAGGAGGUGAGCAGCUCCUAAUUAAAAAUAAAAUUAAUUUUCUACCAAGCAUUCUCUGCUGUACUUGAAGGCAAAUGCAAUUUUGUUGGUAUAAUAAAGGGUGCAGCAAAGAGGUCAGCUACAAAGACUGUUUUAAGCAGCAGUGUGUCCAGUGUAAUAAAUCUAUUCCAGCUCAUCAGACACCCACAUUUUCUCACCGUGGCUCAGGAAACCUAUUGAGUUGGGCAGAACAGCCAGCUGGCUGCCACACUCUCGCCCGUGCAAGAGGCCAUGUAUUGCAAACAAUUAAUAUCUACUUGUUCAGUCUGUCCACACCGACUGCUCUGCUCUUACAUCUCCUCACAUGGCUAAUUUUGAGAGCAUAAUGAUUUUAUGAUGAUGAGAGAAAAUGAGAACUUUUUCCAAAAGAAAAAUCAGAAAGAAAAUCAGAAAAUAAGAACUUUUUCUAAGUGAGAAAUUCAGUGCUUCAAAAGUUAUUCAUUGCCUAAACAGAUUUUAUGCAAUCUUUUCAGAGAUGUUUUACUUCUUUAAGCAAAUUUUUAAAAUUCUAUAUGCCUCUCUUUAUGGUUGCAUCAUUCAAACCUUUGUAUUGAUCAAUAAAAGUAUUUUAUAUGUACAUUUAAAACUGUAUAGUAGACUGAGUGCUCCUAAUCUGAAAAUCCAAAAUCUAGAAAGAUGCAAAAUCUGAAAAGUUUUGAACAUCAAUAUGACAGUGGAGAAUCAUACAUCAGAUGUUAUGUUGUCAGAUCACAGUCAAUGGGGGCAUCAUAAAAAUGUUUAAGGUGUAUGGGAAACAUAGAUGAAUUUCAUGUUUAGACCUGGGUUCCAUUUUCAAAGUAAUACAUAAUGUAUAAGCAAAUAUUUCAGUAUAUGCAAAUAUUUCAAUAUCUGAAAUAUCUUUUUUUAAAUAUAUAUUAGUGAUCUGUGAGACAACUUUAUUUAUUUAUUUUUAUCAGUACUGGGGAUUGAACUCAUGACUGCAUGCUUACAAGGCAGACGCUUAUGCCUCUGAGCUAAAUCCCCAGCCUCAAUAUCUGAAAUAUGUGACUCUACAUAAUUUAGUCAAGGACUGCUAAACUUGUACAGAUUCUUGAUCCUGAAGAAUGAUCCUGCACCAAUAUAAAGAAUGUGCCACUGGCCAUUGUGGACUGAUUUCCUACACUCACUGGAGCUUAGAUCUGGAAGGGCUUAGAAGUGGUUUCCAGCUCAAGAAGGAUUUAUAACAUGGUAGAAGGUAAAAACAACAUAAAGAAUGUCAAGCCGAAAUAAAUUCUGCAGUAAAAAGCAAGCAUUUGAUGCCAGAGCCAAAACAUUUCUUUCUAUUUUGCUCUCUUAGAACUCAUUGGGCUGGAGUGAGGAGUCUUAAAACUGUAAUGACAGCAUCCACCAUCCAUUAUAUAUGCUUUGGAGCAGGUAAUAAGGCUAAAAAAUAUGUCCUUAGCCUAUCAAGAGAAAAGGACUUUUCAAUUCUGGGCAAAAAAGAAAAGCCAAAGGUACAAUGUAAUACACAACAGUAAAUAUUCUAAGAAUCCAACUAAAAGAAAUGGGCUUGAUUUAAAGCUGGAGGAAUUUCUGUUCAUUGUAAAAGCAGGAUUUUUGGGUAAUUGCCAAACUAGUGUCAUCUUACUGGUUACUUAAAGUGGGAGGUGAUCUGGCCAAGGUGGGCUCUCACGCUCCAUCCUGACUCAGCAAAAUCUUCCUAAAACACAUUAGGCAUGUACUUACAAUCUGACAGUGGCAUUUCUAGCUUUCAGAAUCAAGCAUAUGGAAUGCUAGAAGGUUUUUUUUUUUUUUAAAUAGUAGCCUUCUACCUUCAUCUCCAAUUUUGUUUUCCUCCAUUCCUUCCUCCACACACUAAACUAUAUGUAGUAUAUACACACUCACACACAUGCAUACUCAGAGGAGAGAGAGAGAGAGAGAGAGAGAGAGAGAGAGAGAGAGAGAGAAUGAGAAUAAGUCUCCAUUUUCCUCUACCUUUUUGCAUUCUGCUUGAUUUACCAAAUCUAUUUGAUGCCUUCUUUCUCCUUCUCCUCCAGCUCCAGGAAAUCUUGCUCAGCCAUUUCUUUACGAGUUUCUUCUAAAUUUGAACAUACAAAAUUAAUCACACUUAUAUCAGCAAUCCUGAGUUUCUAAAGUUUCAUAAAUUCUUCUGUGUGUUUACGACUUUCUUUUACUAUUUAUUUCACUACUCGAAUGCUAGCUUCUUGGAGGCAGGAACCAUUUUGAUUUUUUGUACAUUCAGUGUAUUAUGAAUGAAUGGUGAACCAGCAAGAAGAGACACACAAUUGUUUGUUCCACUAAAUGGAAAGAGUUGAAUUAUUCAUAAGUCUCAUUACAUACAAACAUAGCCAUAUCACUUGUUAUUUAAAUCUCAGUUGGGUAAAUCUCUGAUUUUUUUAACCCAGCUAUUCUCUAGAAAGUUUUCUGAGAAAGUUUUUGGUGGAUUAAAGAGGGCCAUUCUUUCUUCAUUGUCAUUCUUCUCAUGGAGAGAAGAAGUCUGGUUCUACUCUUGAUCCUAGGCUGGUCUUAGUGACCUUUUCACCAGACAAACAUCAAGUGACAUUCUAGACUUCAAAGGCUAGAUCAACCUACUCUUCCCUGAUUUUCUUGGAAUACUCUAAGAUUCUAAACUGCUUUGUAUCAAGUACGACUAUCUUGAGAACCUUGUGCUAGAAAACCUUUUCUGACUGAUAGGCCCAGGUAAGUCUGACCACACCAACCACCCUGGCGAAGGGCAACAAGUCAACUAAUCCUUCUUUGAUCCUUGGCUGGAUACUAUCUAAGGGUGCCUGUUAACACCACAUGAAACAGAAGAAUCAUCCAGCUGAGCCCUGCCUGAAUUUUCAGGCUGUAAAAUUCAGCAAUAAUCAUAAAAUUGAUCCAAACUUCUGCAUUUUGGAAUAGCAGGAGACAAUUGGAACCCAGACUGAAAGAGUUUUGGCCCAGACAGGACACUGUAGUUGGUAAAGCCUUGGAGGCUGAACCAAGGAGCUCCAUUUUCCCCACUCCUAGGAAUUUGCAUCUGGCACAAAAUGAAUACCAAUGAAAUACCUGCGCAUCCAUAAUGCCCCUCAAGCUCCACCCUAAACCUAAGCUACAUCUAGGCCCCCACUCCACAUGUCCCACGGAGAGAUCGAAGACCCUGGGGAGAUGCCAGACCCCAGGGAGUCAGGGGGGUCUCUCCCCGCAUUCUUAAAAUAAAGGUCAUUUAUAUUUCAUACUUCUUAUCUUUUCAGCCACCGCCACAAUUCUAUCACAAACUAUUUUCAUUCAGUUCCAUUUGAUUGUUUAGCAUCCUGCUCAGCUCAAACAGAGGGACUCCUGCUCUGAGUACUUAAAAUAUUCAAUUAAUAUACUUCUACUGUCCUAUUUUCUCUACAUGAAUUCUUAUAAUUUUCAGACUUCUCAAGUUUUAAUAUUCUCUCUUUUUCUUCUCUCCCGCCAUACUCCCCAUACUGCCACUGUUACCAUUCUCUGAAUCUUCUUCCUUGUAUUUUCAAGAUAGCCGUGUAGAAUGAUUCAGCAGAUGAAGCUUGAAUAAGUAUUCAGACCAAUGAUAAAAAAGUUGGAGCCUCUUUAUCUGGGGAGAACUUUAGAACAAGAAAAGCAAUAGAUAAUUAUUGGAUGAGUGUUUUGAACACUCCUUAUAUCAGAUUCAGAGAGCUUGCAUUAGACAUUCUCUCAUGAGUCCUUUCUACUAGAAAAUUGUGUGACAGACUCAGAUGCAUAGGAUGAGUUACAGCCCUGAAUCAUGUAAGCUACUGAAUUCUUAGCAGUACCAUUCGAUUACAAGUAAAUAACUGCUUGAAUUGGGUUUUUGCUAUACAUUCAAAGAAUUUUAUCCUUUGGGAAGAUGUUUCAUUUUAAAAAGAACUGUAAACAUGAGUUUCUUCCAAGUAUAAUUAGUGUUUAUUAUUAUAUUGAUUUCUUUUCUGGUAUUUUGUAGAUUACUGUAAUUUUUUGUGCUCUGUGAACAUUUCUAAACUUUAUCUGCAAUUUCCACUAGUAGUACGUUUAAUUGUUACUCAAAUGUAUUUUUAAAAUCUAUGUUGUUUAUAAAAUAGAAGGGAAUCUAUUUUACACUUUUGGGUUGUUAUCUAAUCCAUGCACUUCAGAAAUCAACCAUCAUUUCCCCAAAUGACAGUAAGAUACUUAUCUCGGAAUGUGGGCAAGAUACAAAAUUGUGCUCCUUUCUUCUCUGGGAGUGUAACCCUCAAACCAAAUGAAGACAAACAGCAUAAUAACUUAUAUAUUAAUGUGUAAUAAUUAAUAGUUUUGAUAAUUGAAUAGCUUGUUAUGUUGACCUUUAAAAUGUGCUCAGUUAACCAGUGAAAAAAUUUUUAAAUUCAAAAUAAUCCUGGUUUCCAGCUAUUCUAUAUCUCCCACCAAACACAGCAAGAGUAGAAAGAUCUCUGCAUGUGAUGUGUUGAACAGGCAAGAGAUGGCUAUGGGUUAAUCCCCAUCCUCAAGCAGCAGAAUUAGAAGUAGGGCACAGGAGAAGAGCGGGAGGAGGCAUACUGUGGAAGGUCCCACUUUCCUGUUGCCCGCCGGUUCUUGCCAAUGUGGUAAAAUCUGGUUCCUGUAACUGAUAGACCCCACAGCUAUAAGGUUCUUAUCUUCAAGUCUAAUUAAAGGUAGAGAUGGAAUCAGGGUGGAACAGACCCACAGAGAGCUUCCCUUCUCUCAUCAACAUGAUCAGGAAGGAAAGGCAAUGUCAUACGGAGCCCAGCCUAAAGCAGUUACAUCAGGAGAGCACUGAUGUAAUCACGCAUGCAGAACUCAGAACAGUAAAGUCUCAGAGAGUGGAGGCUCAGGAAAAAGAAAGAGAAAUUAAAACCAUGCUUUGUGAUGCAAGUUUGCCUCCAGGACCGGAAGCCAAGUCUGAGAUGCUGUGAAGCACAUCUGUUUUAGGAGGUAGAAGAGUCCAGAUGGAGAGUAGCACCAUUCUUGCUGGCCUAGCUGAAUAACUACAUGGUAGAAGGAAAGUUAUUGAUUCUCUGUGCCUCAGUUUCCCCCUCUGCAGAAGAUAAUAUAGCUGAAGGUAAUUUGUGAUGUAUUAAAUAGAUUCAUUGUUAUAGUUCUGAAAAUGCAAGGUACUCUAUAAAUGCUCAUUUUUCUUACAUAGCCAUUGUAGGAAAUUUAUUGUUUCCUUGAUCUUUAUUUUCUUAUUUCUUUUCUACAUAUUUAUAGAUAUGCAGUCACCUAGUAACUGUAUCAGGUAACAUAGCACUAAAACUAGAAGUUAAAAUUACCCAUUCCAUUUGUGGGUGACUGAGAGUAACUGAAAUUAUCACGAGAAGCUUCUUAUCUCCACACAGUGUCGCAGGCUCUCUCUUAAAUUUUGUCCUAGCUUAUUAUAUUUUUCAGCUUGUGUACUAGUGAAUCCAUUUAUAAAUCAUUUAAAUAAAUGUACAAGUUGGAUCACUGGGCUCUAACAGGCAGGAGCAGUUGGUCUGUUUACUAAAUUGUUAUUGCUGCAUAAAAAUAAUUAUCUAGCAUUUAUCAAUUGUGUCCUAAAAUAUUCUAUGUAAAUUGUUUAACUAUGAGGAGAAGAAAUGAACAUGAUGAAAGAAAGUUGAACACGAUUUAACAUUAAAGAAACUGAGAUUGCCUUCUCCCUAAUUCAGUGGACACCUUUGCUCCUGUAUUGACUUUACCAUGUGUGCCUGCGUCUACAGUAUGCAGGGAAGGAAACCAAUGUAGAACACUCCUGUGUGCAUUCCUGCAAGCCUAGGUCUGCUUGUGAAGAAGGAAGAGCCUGAAAGCAAGGGAUAUAUCAUAGUACCUGAAAUAAUAGCAGUUUUGCAAGUCAAAUGCGUCCCUGAAAUACAGAAAAGUACUGUUUGAAUGAACAUUAGUUUAUGUGAUUUUACAGAAAUUACUAAUUUCAAAGUCUUCAUCUUUAAAAUGAGAAUAAUAAUGCUUACCUCACCAACCUCAUUCAUAUGUGCCUAAGGCUGUAUUUCACAUGAGGCCCUUUGAUAACCUCUGUGGGUAUCAAGUAAACUGAUUCUAUUUCACGUCCUUGAGGUGUUUAACAGCUCUGUUGUGAAGAAGAUGAUUCCAGUAAAGAUGAUACUGUGAGCUACCAAAGUAGGUAAUGAUUCGUUUUUUAGGAUAGAGGAGGUGAUUGAGAAUAAGAACACAAAAACAUUUGGCUUAAAGAGACACCUGAGGUUAUUAUUUAAAGCAAGAAUAAGAGAAGCUAGAAAUAAAUUGGAUUUAAGAAAAGUAUCUGGAAGAAAAUGUCCUUCAUACAUUAACAAAAAUCAUAAUUAAGCCAAAACAACUCUAUGACAAUGAUAGGAAAUGGAACAGAGGAAGAGAGAGGGAAGGGAAGGGUUGGAUAGGAAAUGAAUGACACUGGUUCUGAGUGACUGAGCCCUAAGCAAGAUGAAUGCUCCUUUUUUUUUUUUUUUUUUUUUUUUUUUUUUCUCCAUGUCAAAGUUGAAAGGUGGGCUCGUGACUAGAAUGGCACUUUAUGGUGUCAGGGACUUGUGUUUUUUCUCUGGUUCUGCCAUAUGCAACCUCAUUCCCUAAGCCACUGUAAGUCUAGGAUGACUUUGAGUCCAGCAAUGAAAACCACAUUUUCACAAACAGAAAGGAACAAAGGAAGGAGGUCACUCUUCAGUCCAUAUUUCCACUUAUCCUUACCUUCUUUGAUCACAUCAGGAGGGAAAAGGUAGAAAUACAGUUCUUUAUUCUGGGGAGCAGUUGUGCAGAUAAAUGUGGUCAUGACCAAAGCAAUGGAAAAAUGAUUACUGGGGAGCACUGCAGUUUCCUGACAGUGUAUGUUUUUAUGUGUGCACGUGUGUAUGUAUGAUUGUAUCCAUGCGAGUAUGUGUACCUGUGAACAUGUCAAACAGCCAGAAGAAAGGUGAAGACUGAAUGGAAAGGUGUGUGAGAAGUUACUUAGUCAGUGGGAUAUAGAGUUUUAGAAAAUGAGGGAAUUAUUCCAGGACAAAUAUCGAUCUUACCAGUCUAUAGUUAAUGUUUCACAAAAUGUGAGUCCUAAGUUAGAACACAUUGACAGAUAUGAAUGGCUAGUAGAAUUAAGUUGAUUCCUCAAUUAUGUUCUCAUAAUACUUUAUAUCAAUGUCACUAAAUGGUGCUUUGUUCUCUAGACCAUAAAGUCUCUAGAUAAUAAAUAAGGUUUUGGGGAGGUGGAAAAAUAUACUCUCCUGUUUCAUGUUCCAUUCCUUCCACAGAGAAGUCCACCAUUAUAAUUCUGCAACCUGGAACCAGAGAUAUAGCUCAGUGGCAUGGUGCCUGCCUAGCAAGUGUGAGGGCAGGAGUUUGAUUCUCAGUACCAAAACAAUUUAGCAGGGUGUGGUGGCACAUAGCUGUAAUACCAGCACUUGGGAGGCUGAGGCAGGAGGAUUGCUACAAGUUCAAGACCAGCUUAGGCUACAAUGUGAGCUAAAGACCAGCCUGAACUGCAAAGUGAGACCCUGAGUCAAAAAAAAAAAAAAAAAAAAAAAAAAGUUCUGUGACCUCUUCACCCCUGGGAUCAAGUUAGAGGGAAAUGUUAAGUAAAAUAAAUCUGGCACACAAGCUUAAAUGUCACAGAACUUCUCUUACAUGAAAAACUCAAAGUAUGAAUAUUUUUUUUAAAAUGAAAUAAAAAACAAUAGCAAAAAGGCAGAUAGAUCUUUUGCAAAUGAAAAUGGGAUCUGGAGACAGAGAAGUGGAUGGAAGGGGGGAAAUUAAGGUAUGUCGAGCACACAUACCUACUUGAUAAGAUGAACAUAAACAUUAUGCAUUGCAAACAUUUUCUAAUAAAAAAUUAGAAAGAGAAAACCCUGUGAAGGAGGGAAGUGCCCAUGCCACCUUUCUCAUACUUGGUCCACCUGAGAGCUGGUCACAGCCCUUAACUCAAGUGUGAAACAGUGACUUGCAAGUGUGGAUUUGCACAGGUGUGCCUGGCUCUGCCUUUACUCCUUUAAAGCCUUAAAACCUGUGUUUGUGCUCUGGAUUGCCCUUGCCCACGUGAUAAAUUGUGCUCUGGUGUUUUAGAACCUUGCAGCUGGGUGAUAACUGCACAGAAGUCUGGUGGCCAGCCUUGCAAAGCCCUCCUGUCUGCACAUGUGAUGCACAGCCUCCCAGAGCAGCUUUAGCAGAGCAGCUUAAGGCGUGGAGUUCAUCCAUCACUCUGUCUCAUUCCCCAAUUGAGCCAAUAUUUUAAUGGGAACGAGGUAGUUUUAUGUAUUGGGAAUCCUCAAAUCCCAAGUCUGUCUGUCAGUCUAUCUUUCUCUCCCAUCCCACCCUAUUCUACUCUACCCAGAUGAGCCUAUCCUAUAAGCUUAUCUAUCAACCUCCCCAUCUAAUCCAUUAUCCAUGUAAUAGUGAAUGGAAGUAUGGAUGAAUGUCGACCUUGUGGCUGAUCUUAAGUACUUUAGAAUUUUAACUUUAGUGAGAAGGGUAUUAUCAUUUAGGUAAGCGUGGGAACACUUGAAAUGAAUAGAUACAUCAAAAGAAAGAAAGAAAGAAAGAAAGAAAGAAAGAAAGAAAGAAAGAAAGAGAGAGAGAGAAAGAAAGAGAAAGAAAGAAAGAAAGAAAGAAAGAAAGAAAGAAAGAAAGAAAAAGAAAGAAAGAAAGAAACCUGAAUCAGAGUUGUGUAGAACCAGAUUUAUUUUAUUUUUUGCAAUAUUGAGGAUUGAACUCAGGGCCUCAUGUGUGAUGUGCAAGUUCCCUACCCCUGAGCUUCAUCCCCAGCCCAGUAUUUUUCACUGUAAGGAUGAUGCUUUGUAUGCACGUAUGUAUGUAUCCACUUUCCCUGUCACACCUAAGUUUGAAAAGGUGGCUCUAAGCGCAGUUGCUGUAGAUUCACGUCUUAUGUAGUUACCUGGAUUCCAUCAGGAAAAACUACACCCUUAGUCUCAGCCUCCAGAGCCUUUGAAAGCAUCUCAUGUCCGCAGAGUGAUGUGAAAUGAAUAUGGAUAGUAAACAUGGUCCCUGUUGCUUUCUGACAGAGUCACCUUGAACGUGGUCUGACUUGAAGUGGGAGAUGAGGCACUGCUUGCAACUCAUGUAUGUCCUGGAGUGGAAGAAUGGGAGGAAGUAGCUGGAAGCUGUGAAAGGAUGCUAUGAUAAGAAGGGGAAUUUUCUAAACUUUAUAGUGACAGGAGCAUUUGCGAAGUUGUCCGAAAGGUUGCUGAGAUUACUUGGAGUCAUAUUUCUGAAACAUGUCAUAUUAACACCUUCCUGAGGCUUUCUUGAUUUUGGAUGCUUGGUAGCUGUGUUUAAUUUUUUUUUUCUACAUAGUUUCCUGAUGAGCCUAAGGACUCAGACAGUGAUGGAAAAGUCAAAAAUAGGAAUCUUCCCCAAAACAAAACAGAACAGAACAGAACAAAACAAAGCAAAGCAAAACAAAACAAAACAAACUAAGUCUUUCAUACUUGCUGAACAUUAGAAUUAUUUCUCUUUUUGCACAGAAGAGAUACCAUAAUCUGUAUUUUGAUUCAUUUGGGUGGUUGAAUUCGGAUGUAUUGGGAUUUGUUUAUUUUCUAUUCAGUGAUAAAUGUGGCGCUGUAAACCAGCCUGGAGCUUUCUUGUAUAAACAGAAGACUAGAGAAAUUAGCAUUAAGAUGAACUGUAUUUAUUAAACGCUAUUAGCUUUGAAGGUAGAUUUAGAUUCUUUUCUUUGGAUUGUAAAAUCUACUUUUGCCUGGGGUUUUUUUUUUCUUCAGUUGUCUCUUGAAUUCAAAGUUGUAAACAGAAGUGCUCCAUAAAUAUACGUGCACCAUGACAGACUUGGAUAUAAAAACAAAAUGGCACUCAAAAUUGCUCAAGUAAGUUGGUUAUAGUUAGAUAUUUUUAAAGGCCAUGGUGGCAUAAUUUGGUAAAAUCCCCAGCUUCCCUUAAAUGAUGACAAAAUAUAGCUCCAUAAUACUUCUGAGAGCCUAGUAUGAAAAUGCAUUAGGAGAAAAGGUCCAAGGGACACAGCAGAACGCCUUGUCAUGAUAGAUAGAGGGUGGCAUAAUUCUAAAAAUUCUCCAUGAAAAAUUAUAUCCACUGAUAAGUGUCUCUCCCCUUCUCAGAAAGGGCACAGGUAGACGGUAUUAACUUGCUGUGUGAAGUAAUAAAUUACCCUGUCCCAUCUGGCACAUUACCGCGAGCUUGGUGGGCUUUACAAUGUCCCUUCCCUGAGAGUUCAACUUGAAAUCUUUAUGAAUGAUGGCUGAGCCCUGAGACUCAACUCAACCUUCCUUGCGUAGUUGGUAACCCAUAAAACUAACAUCCCUUUAAAAAAUGAGCAAUUUGAAACAGAUUUGUGAGAAAGGGAACCUUUACUCAUCACAAAAUCACAUUAAUGUGCGUAGGAAGGGAGUUGGAAGGGGAACUAUCUUGAAAUAUUGCUAUCUCAAUCUUUCUUGAAAGGUAAAACUAAGAAUAAUUAUACAUCUAUUCUUCAGGGAUUCUUUAUUUUCAUAGACAUUUUGUUUAAAUGGAGGAAACCUGGGUGGAUUUUUUUUAAAGUUGUGCCUAGAGAUGGCUUGAUGAUUCUCCUGAAAGACAUGAGGUGGGUUUAUUGGCAGUUUGUGGCUGGAUUUACGUAGCAAGCAUAAAAUAGUCCAAGCAGCAAAUGAUUUGUGAGUGUGUACAUUGGGUGAGGACAGGGAGGGAGCUAUCUCACGCUCUAGCAAUCUGAAAACCUACAGGUCUAUAUAAAACCACUUCAGUGGGUGGGAAGAGGGGACCACCAGAUACGUCUUUGUUUUUAGUAUUUUCAGAUUCUGCCCUUCUUUUAUUGAUUGACUUUUAUCUCAAAUCAAAAUGAUUCUGAUAAGGAAUUUUCCUCUGUGCUUUGCAAACCAACUGAAAGUGAGAGCAGGAUGAAUAAAUGCCUUGCUGGUAACUGUUUAUCCUCUCUCUUAGCUCUUCUGAUUACCUUUCACAAUAAUGUUUCUUUGUUCUUCAAAGUCCAUUUUAUGCAGAUCUAUGCUAAUGAUCAUCUGCUAUGCAAAUAUUUCACCUUGGUAAUUGUAAUAAAGGAAGCACUGACCAGUGGACCUGAAACUAAAGCUUAGAUUUCCUCUCAACUGUGAUAUAUCAUGUGUGUUACUUAAGUUUCUGAGAUAUAGAUUUGCCUUCUAUAGAAUGGUGAUUCUAAUAACUGGCUCCCAGAACUGUGGGGGAAAGUUCAGUAGUUGUAAUGUUUUGUAAUUUUUGAAACACUUUGCAGGUAUUAGGGCUAGCACAGGGUCUUGCCCUCUGUCUACCAGAAUAUUUUCUUCUCUUCUUCUCUAGUAGUGGGAUUAUAUCUGGCUCCGAUCUGGGACUGUAGUUGCAACUACUAAUCAUCAUGGAGAUAUAGAAGCUCUUGGAAGAGGAAAAGAUGAGAAUCAUUUUUGCUUUUCAGGUACCUUGCGGGAUAUCUCGUCCCUGGCUUGAAGGUAGUAGCUUCAGAGAAGUUCCCUAAACUGAACCAGGGGAACAAGCUGCUAACCGAUCCAGAACACCUCUCUUGGACAUUUAUGUGAAAGAAACACAUUUGUAUUUCUUUGAGCGUAUGUGCUCACAGGUCUGUUUGUACCGAUAGGUCAGACUACCACAACCAAUACCAACAUUUUUAUUGAGUCCAUGGGAUACAGAUUCAUAGACAUAGAACUGGAAGGAACCCUAGAGGUCAUCUUGCAAAUAAACGUAAUACUUGGAGAGGAAACCAUUUUUUCUUGGCCACAAAACAAAUUAAUUGCAGAACUCAAAUAAAGUGUAAUUUCCCGGCACAAUUGUACAAUGCAGAGUAAGCAGUCCACACAUGAAUCUGAUCCUUAAGGGACAGACCUGCGGAAUACAGGCAUAGAUUCAGAGAGUGCUCGGGUAUGCAUUUCAUAACCUCUUGUAAAAAUGUCAAAUUAGAGAAGUAGACGCUUUUCCCCAAGGUUUUGCACCAGGGUUUUGCAAAUCACGAGCUCUGAGGCUUCUUUUAAAGCUGUCCUGAGCAUGAAGGUCCUUGUGCCUGAUGAAAUAUCAUGAGUGCUUUUGGUUCUGGGAGAGCAGGCGGCUUCGGGGAAAAGCAGCCCACCUGGCAGCAGCGCUGGGAAUGUUUUAGCCACAGCUGCCAGGAGCUUCUGUUCUCCAAAAGAUUGAUCUAAAAUGGCUUCUUCGAACAUAACCAACAAGAGAGAGACAAGAUUAUGUUCUUAGCAUUUGAACCAGAACACACUUGCUCUGCUUUAAAAGGUCUUAUGGGACUGAAAAAGCCCAGGGAAACAGAAGUUGCUGUUCUCAUUAAAGGAGAGAGGUAUUUUUAUUCAUUGUUUUUAUUCACAUCAGUUAAUUUAACAUGCCUUGAAGGGGCCUCUUCCAUGGCAGUGGUAUUAAAGUCGCAGCUUACUCACUGAUUAUAAACAAACAUUAGUCAAGUUUACUUACCAAAGUUGGUGCACGGAUAAAAAGCAAAAGAAUUACCUCGCACCUGACAGAUGAGAUGAGUCCCAGGGGGCUCCUCUGGCCUUGUGACAAUAUGCCAUGGAGGAAACUUGGAACAGACUCCAAAUUCCUUAACUGUGACUUGGGAAACUGGCUAAGCUGGUCCAUACCUGCCUCUCUCUCUCAUCUCCUGACCUCUAUCCUUGACUUGCUAUUGUGAUGCCUACCUGGCUGUUCUGUUUACCAUCACCACCUAUGUCAUGUCACAGGGUUCUGCAUAUAUCACUAACAUGGCCAGCUACUUCUCUUCUUGAACCUCAAUUUUAUUUUCUGAUAUGUGUGUGUGGUACUGAGGACGGAAACUGGCUUUCACACUGAGCUAUGUCUCUGGCCUUUUCAUUUUUUCUUUGGAGACAAAUUCUUGCCAAGUCAUGAAGUUGCCCAGACUGGGCUCAAACUUAGGAUCCUCCUGCCUCAGGUUCCAGAGUGCUGGGGUUAUAGGCAUGAAGCACUAUGCCUGGCCUUAAAUUUUAAAGUUCCAUUUUAAAUAUUAUUUUUUAUUUUUUGGUACCUGGGAUCAAACUCAUGACCUCAUACUUAUCAGGCAGGGACUUAUACCACUGAGCUAAAUCCCCGGCCCUAAAUAUUAUCUCUUUAGAAAUGUCUCCACUGGUUGCCUUCAAAUGGAGGUUUCAUUGCACUGUUUUCUUCAAAUUAGUUACACAAAUUACCAGUUACUUAUAUGCAUGCUUAUUUAUUAUCUGAUAGAUUGCAGUCUCUUCGACUAGGCAGUGAUUUCAUAGGUUAAUCACCCAUUUUAGUCAUGAAAAAAAGAAACAGGUUCCCAUAGAUAUCCUUAAGAGAAAUGGAAGCCAAGAGAUUAGCAAUGAGAGUGUAACUAAUGACCUGGAUAGAUUUUCUCAGGGUGGUAGACCUGCUGGGGUGGAUUCUCAGCUGGAGAUCAGUCUAGUAGAGACAGUAGGAAAAGAAGUCCAGGAUUACAUAGAACCUAGAAAAAAGCCGGUGAAGUCAAAGUCAGAGCAAGGAAAGAGACAGAGCUUAAAACAGACCAAAUCUUACACCCACAUUGGGCUCUUCAGUGAGUUUCUCCGCAAUUUCCUGGAUAACCUAGCUCAAGACUAUUGCUCCAGUCCAUCAGGGUUGGGAGAAUGGAGUGGAUCUCGAUCUGCUGGGAUAGCAAAUUCAUUUCCUGCUGAAAGGUGCUGUUUUUCUUUGAGUCACAGAGCAAUCCUUUCUUUUUAAAAAAAAAUUAAAUUUUUUAUUUUAGUUUGAAGAGAAUUAAACCAAAUGAGACAAAACAAAAUAGUCAAUCAAAACAAAAGGAUCAACAUGGUUCAUGACUUAAAAACAAAAUACAAGGAGAUCAAUUAUGGCUACCAUAAUGUCUCUUGUUAUCUUCAAAAGAAUUGCCCAUAUCAUCAGGUAUAAUAAAAUUGAACAACACAAUACAGAACAAAAUCAAUAAAAACCAAGCUUUUUAUUGGCAUUAUUCUGAUGGAUCUUUUCCUCCAGCCUGGCUUCCCUGAUGGAAAUUUUGCACCUUUGGUCUAAGAAGCAGUUUUUAAAACUUGAGCUGCUCUCCUUCCUUCUCCCAAUUUGACUGCUUUCUGCCUCAUUCGUACGUUGAAUUUUUCUUCAAGGUUUGUUUCUUUUCCACAAAAUCUCACCCUUACCUUCUUGAACGGGAACCCAGGAUUCUUCCUGGUUUGCAGCCUGCCCUGCAGUACAGAAGCUUCUUCCGCUCUGCUUUGCUGUUGUUAUAGUAACAGCAGAUGUGCCUUCUGGAAUGUUCUGUUUCCUGGGAACACUGUUGGGAGGAUCAUCAGAGAUAUUUUACUUGGUCACAACUACAUUGCAAAUUAAAAAGAAAAUAUUCUGUCCCCACAACUGUGUUUACUUUGUUGCCUUAUAAGACAUCAGGAGAACUUGACAGGGUAAUAGAACCAAACCUUGGCAAAAAAUAGGACAUGGAACAGGAUGGAAUCUGAUGUUGAGUAGGUUCCACUUUACGGAAGAAAACAUAAUGCUAAUAAAUUUAUUGUACAUCGAUUACCAGGAUAAAUUGGGCAAUAAACUAUGCAGACAUAAUGGAAACUUCACCAUUGCCAAAUAGAUGAUAAAUGAUAUAAAACAGUGGAUUAUUUUGCUUAUCUUCAAUUAGAAUGUUUGCAAAAUGAGUGAAACAAUGAAUUUAAAUGCAGAAAGCAUAUAUUAUCAUAAACAUAUUUGCUAAAACAGAAAGCAUAAAUUGUGGUGAAAUUUAGUAGUGUCUCCUGUUAUGCAUGAAUGUUUAUUUGUGAUUAAAUGUGAACAAUUGCUCCUUUAAGGUAAAGGUCUGUGAAUGUGUGAUUAAUCAAGUUGAAAUGAAAGUGCAGACAGCUCAUGCCAUGCCUAGUUAUCAAAAUGAUUGAUUUUAGCCUGUGCUUCUAGGUGAAAAAAUAUCUGUUAAUAACCCCAGCAACCAAACCCCUGAUGUCACUAGUAGCUAGAUGAUUUGUGCGCAUUUUGCAUUACUGGGCUUAUUUGCAGGUAGAGAGUACAAUGAUCCAUUGGAUCGCAAAAUUAUAACAUGCAAACGGUGACAUUCAGAUUUCUGCAAGAGUUAUGACUGCAAAGUGCAUUUCAUCAGUGAGGAGUUUAAAAUUGCUGCUGUUGUAGUUGUCACGAGCAUGUUAUUUUCUUUGGUUUGCGUGGAGGCAAGACUGUCAAGGUUUUCUCACACAAACUGGUGUUUUUAUAUACCACAGCUCUCUGCUGGCUGGGGAUAGCCAGCCUCUGAUCCGAGUUGUUAUUAAGUCUUCAGCUUUAAGAUAGUACUUUACCAACUUGGUUGAAUUACACUUGAUCAUAAAUACCUUAAUGUUUUACUGGGUAGAAAAGGCUUAAUGCAAAACAGGAAAUGGCUCUGCCAAGAAAUGGUGGUGGGUUUGGGGUAGUGUCUGCUGUUUGUUAUUGCUGGAGAGAAAAAUGUGUUGGACUAAAAUUUCCAGUUAAGGGUCUGGAAAUGAAGUAUGAAGAGUCAAAGAAAAUUUUACAUACAGAAUGUGGGUAAAUUCUCCAUCCUGUAACCUAUGAUUUUCCAGGUCUAGCUGUUAUAUCAUCUGAUUGUCAAAAACUCUGGCCAGUUCGUACUGCCAAGGAAAUGUAUUCUCUCAUAACUACCAGCAGUUCAUUUCUGGGUAUACAUUGGUCCAAAAUGUCUGAAGAAAUUUAGUUUUUUUUUUCUUAUACUCACUGCUGUGUUUAGUUCUUUGAUUCACAGAAACCAGGAGAAAUUAAUAGAGUAGCAGAGGCAAAUCAUGGAAAAAAAGCAACGAUGUCUUUGGUAUGAUGAAAUAACAUGUCCAAUAUGUGCGAUCUCUAUGGAAGGAUUUGCAAUGCUAGUCAUGUUCCUGUACUUUGCUUAUUAUAAGAUCAUACUCUGAGGUAUAUAGUACAGUAUAUGAAUAUAUGGAGACUGUCAAAUGCUGGGAAUAAUAGGAAAGCUAAACCACCUGGAUACAUUUACUUAGGUUUAACUGUAAUACUUAUUAAAUGAAUAUAGCAACGUACUCAGAAAAUUCCACACAAUUGUCUGGCAUAAUACCUGGCCCACUAAGGCAUGCUAUAAGUAAGAGCCAUUGUUACUGUGGCUAUUACAAUUGUAAACAAGAAGGUAGAACAGUUAUAACAUGCACAUAUUUCUGGCUAAUGGCUGCAUAACAUAGACCAGAACACAAUGCAAAAUGAAGCAAAGUUUCCCAAAGGUAACUUUGCCUGAGAAGCCAGUGAGUCCCUCUCAGAGCUUGUGUGCCCUGGCUCUUAAAUACCUUAUGACAAUCCUGCUCUAAAUCUCUGUGAAUGUGCUUUCCAAGGCAGGUAACCACUAGCCAUAUGUGGCAUUAAAAUAAAUAAAAUUAAAAAUUCAGUUCCUCUGUUGUACUAACCACAUUUGAAUGUGCUCGGCAGCCACUAUAGCUGUGGUUACCCUACUGGACACACAAGGAACAUUUCUAUGAGUAAGAGUUGUACUGGAUAGUGAAGCUCUUAAUUGAGCCCUGCAAAGACCCUAGACUUUAGGACCUAAAAACUGUACAAUACAGGAAAAAAAAAAAAAAAAACAAAAACAAAGAACUAUGCAGUCUGGUGAGGACCACAGCUGUGUGUGGAAGACAAUUGGCAAGGAAUUAAGGAAGAACUAAUUGUGCCCUAUAGAAGCAUUUAAAGGCCUUGGCUUCUGUUGAGUGACUCAAUAGUUGGUAGAAAUGGGCAGGUUAAUUGGGAAACUCAUCAGUGACCCUUUAGCACUACUCUGCAUCAUGUAGGGGAGCUCAUGGGUCCCGAGAAGCAGGAAUGGAGGAAAAAAUAAAAGCAAGAGGUCACCCAAGGGAAAAGCGGCGUGUGGCAGAGGGAUUUGAGAAUCAUGAGCAUUAUCUUUAGAAAGUGGCUUCUUUAAAUGCAUCGUGAUUUGAUGGUUUAUUUAAUGCAUCUGAGUUUAAUCGUGCUUAGAAAGCAAGCAAGCUCAUUCCUGGUUUUUCACUCAUAUGAGUAAGUUCCCAGUUACCUAUCACAUCUUCAUGAUUGGUGUUACAUUUAUUGAUGACACUCACUUCAUUAAUCCCAAGGGCGACAGGAGUUAACCUUUGUCUUAGUCUUGACAAUUGCUAGAACUACAAUUGACAGCACUGCCUCAGAAGAAGUUUCUAGAAUGUAAUUCCUGUGAUACUAUACUAACAUUGUGUUAUAGAGACAAGGUGAAAGAUAGGUGACUUCUCCACAAGAGUUUCCCAACUUUCUUCAUAGUUUUUCUUUUCUUUCUUUUUUCCUCCAAACAAUUUAUGUCACUUCAGUUAGAGAACACUGUAGAAUCCUGGCCUGAAAGAUUCCUCCACAAAUAACCUCAUAGGGAAUUUGAAUGCAUUGAAUUUUGCUAAACUUCACUGAACUGAAAACUGAAAUUGUCACUUAUUGGAGAAUGAAGUAGAUUGGAUAGCAUUGUCAGCAUAUUAAAUCUGGGGUGAAGGUUAUAAGUGUUAUUGAUUGUUUUUAAAUUACAGAAGUGUCUGUGCAUUUCAUACCAAUUUUAGUUCAUUUUUUAGAAAUCAAGAAAUACAUUAGAAUUGUGGUGCUGGCCGAGACCUCAAAUGGCAAUCUCAUCUUUCCUCUUAGACUAUAAACCACGUUGAAAAAAAUUGAUCUUGGGGAGCUCAUUGUGAGCAGAAGAGAGGGAUGGUGUGCAGAGCACUGGUCUACGUGCUUGUGGUAUCUGUACUCUAAUCCCAGCUUGGCCCCAAUCUCUUUCAGGCCUGGGCUUCAGAUUCCUUAUUGGUCAAAUGAGGUAAAUGGACAAAAUAGUUUCCAUAGCAUUUUCUAACUGUGUUAGUUUUCUGUUGCUGCAUAACACAUUACCACAAACUCAGUGUGGUUUAAAACAGCACCCAUGUAUCAUCUGUCAGUUCUGUAGGUCUGAAGUUCCAGAGGGCUCCAUUAAAUUCUUUGCUCAAGAUCCCUCAAAGGUAAGCACGAGGCAAUGCCUGGGUGGACUUCUAUCCAAAGACCCCAAAGGAGAGUCCUCACCCAAACCCAUAUGUGUUGUUGUCAGGAUUAGAUUCCUUGUGGUUGUAGAAUUAAGGUUCCUGUUUCUUGCAGGCUGUUCUCUGGGGGUCACUCUUCGCUGUCAGAGGUCACCCACGUUCUUCCCCUGGUAGCUCCUCCAUUGUCAAGCCAACAAUGGCAGAACAAAUCCAUCUCAUGCUUCAACCUGGCCACUUUCUCUUUUGGUUACCAGCCUAAGAGAAUUCUGCUUCAAAGGACUCGUAUGAUCAGAAUGAUCAGAGUACCCUGCCUAGAGAUUUCUCUUCUACUUAACUCCAAAUUGUUUGAUUAGUAAUCUUAAUAGCAAACACAAAAUACUGCCACGCGACAUCAUCAUGGGUCCUUAACUCAUGGGUUUCACUGUGGAGCGCAUGGCGAGUAUCUUAGCAAGCCAUCUGAACUUCUGUCCAUCACACUAACUCUGAAAAUCAUUGAUUAUGCAUCUUCUGAGCCUGCAGAGUACCCGUCUACAAAGUCCUUUCCUUCCCUCACUUCCUCUUAGCAAUCUUUUCUGGUGUCUAGUGCUGUACUUCAUCAUGCAGUUUAAAAUCUUUGCUUGCUGUUCUGUCUGCAGGCUUUUUAUAUCCCUCCUUUGUGUGGGGAGACUGGGGGACAUUUCUAGAGCUGUUUUUUUUUUUUUUUUUCUCAGUGCUAUAGCCAGAGGAGAAUGCGCAACGGUCUUUCAAUCAGACUUAGACUAAAGUCUAAGACUUUAGGUGCAUUUACCAGUGAGCAGCAAGGAAGGGCUCUUCUCCCCUUGGCUCAGUCUUUGCUCUGCUUAGGGCAUUUGUAGGAAGGUGUAUUUUUUUUUCCAGUACUGGUAAUUGAACCCACGGCCUUUUCCCUGAUCUACAUCCCUGGCUCUUUUAAAUUAUUUCUUAUUUCAAGACAGGGUCUUGCCAAAUCACUAAGUUACACAGGCUAGGGUUGCGUUUGUGGUCCUGCUGCUGGAGGCUGUCAUAGAGAUGGAGUUCUGGGCAGGUGGCACCAAUCCUAUGUAGGAUUCCUGAGUCUUUCACCUUUGUGAUGACUUCAAGUGAUUUGGGCGAUUAGAGCAAUGUUAUACAAAUCAGUGGAACAAAAUCGAAUAUACAGGUGAUACACAGAUGAAAAUGAAAAGUACCUCUCCUAUCUACCACCUGCAUAUUGCCUUGCAUAUCUUUCUAAAAAUGUUUCUAUUAUGUGCAUAAAUUAAUUAGGGUAUCGUACAACAUUCAGCCAUUUAUAGUAGAAAGUUUUCAUGCUAAUAAAGAUUUCUAUGUAAUAUUUAAAUGCCUUGCUUCCUGAUAUUUGAUCUCAAUAUUGAGUAUAUCAGCAUUUAUUCAGUCAUUUAUGCUGAACAUUUCUUUCCUAUUAUCAUAAAAAAAUGCUUCGUUAGGGCUGAGGAUUUAGUUCAGUGGUGUAAAUGCCUGCCUGGUAAGUGCAAGGUUGUGAGUUUGAUUCCUGGUACAAAAUAUAUAAUCAAUUAAAAAUUCUUUAAUGAUUCAGGCAUAGUAGUAGACACCAGGGAUCACAGAACUCUUAGAGGCUGAGGGAGGAGGAUUGCAAAUUUGAGCCCAAUCUUGUUUACUUAAUGACUUAGCAAGGCACUGUCUAAAAAAAAAAAAAAAAAAAAAAAAAAAAAAAAAAAAAACAAAAAAAGAAAGAAAGAAAGAAAGAAA